GUAUUACUCCCUCCGUCCGAAAAUACUUGUCAUCAAAAUGAAUAGAAAGAGAUGUAUCUAGAACUAAAAUACGUCUAGAUACAUCUCCUUUUAUCCAUUUUGAUGACAAGUAUUUCCGGACGGAAGGAGUAGUUG
rnacentral:pre_miRNA from 1 species